ensembl:lncRNA
AAAAUGAUUGAAUCAAAGGAAGAGAAAAAGGGUGGGAAAAUGGCAUAAUUCACUACAUUUUAAAAGUAAAAAAAAAAAAAAACUAUAGUAAUACUAUAAUUGCACCUAGGGGACCAUAAUAAUAAAAUAAAAAAACCCAUGUCAUGACCCCUUUAAAUCAAUUAAUAUAUUCAGGUUCUAAUGCAUUUAUUUCUAGCUAACUGUACUCAGGACAGGAGAACCAUGCCGGUGGACUUUAGUGAGUCCUGAUGUUCCAGCGCCACAAAGGAAAGAGACACUCUCACGGCAUCAACAAGCUGAGAUUAGAGCUGGUGGACUGACUACCACCCACUGUCCAUGUUUAGAGUGCUGCAGGCCAGGCCAGUGCAGGCCACAAUGUCAAGGUCGCUUGCUGAAAUUGUCGACGCACAUCCAAAAAACCCCUCAGCCUUGCAGUGGUCCUACAACCAAAGUGUACCAGCCAUCCACAUGUUUUGACAGGUGACAACUGAGCUUCCGUCUGGACUGGAAGCUGUGCACCCCCAACCCACAUGCACCGUAGAGAGUUCCCUCGAAGGACCGCUCACCAUGGGAACCCACGAUUUGCUCGAGGCCACAUCUUUCUAAGGUAAUUAAGUGCAGGGAGAUGAGGAGGUUCAUCUUGAGAUAAGCUACUAAUUGAAACUCUCCUAUCAGGAAGAGGUCAAAUUGUCCCUCUUUCCCUUACUCUCACAAUCUACGAGGCUUUUGAGUGGCCUUUGCUAUUAAAGUCAAGUGGUCUGAAGAGGUCAGGGGAUGGUUUGUUAUGCUGAAAGUGGUGCUCAUCCACUCAUUUGUGCCAUUUGGUGGUUAACCUUGAUUUGUGACAUCUCCUGAUUUCAUCUUUAGCUGUUUUGACUCCAUUCUGUCAACUAAGAGAAGCUUAAUUAGAUGUGUUUUUUUCCCCCCUAUAAUCUUGAUAUAGCGCAUGCGCUUUCUUCUGAGUGGUUCUUAGCAGUUUGUAUGUAGUGAAGGGCAAUUAUGCUAACAGCACUAAUGCACUCAAUCUUUUUUUUCCCUUUGAUAUGUAGAGUUAUUAAGUCUAGUGAUUGGUUGAGCACAGUUUUGUGUACUUUUUCCUC